rnacentral:rRNA from 1 species
CCUACGGGUGGCAGCAGUGGGGAAUAUUGCGCAAUGGGCGAAAGCCUGACGCAGCGACGCCGCGUGAGGGAUGAAGGUCUUCGGAUCGUAAACUUCUGUCAGCAGGGCAGAACGGUCCCUUUGCUACUCAGCAGUGAAUUGCCGGUACCUGCACAGGAAGCACCGGCUAACUCCGUGCCAGCAGCCGCGGUAAUACGGAGGGUGCGAGCGUUAAUCGGAAUUACUGGGCGUAAAGCGUUCGUAGGCGGUAUGUCAAGUCAAGGGUGAAAUCCGCGCGCUCAACGUGGGAACUGCCGUUGAUACUGGCAAACUGGAGUGUGGGAGAGGAUAGUGGAAUUCCAGGUGUAGGAGUGAAAUCCGUAGAUAUCUGGAGGAACAUCAGUGGCGAAGGCGACUAACUGGGACAUAACUGACGCUGAGGAGCGAAAGCGUGGGUAGCAAACAGGAUUAGAUACCCGUGUAGUC